UUUAUAAUGAUGAGCAUUUACUCCAGGCACAAGAAAUGUCAAAUUGGAACCUUUGUCGGGUAAUCUGAGUGCACCACUACCACUAAUUUCA